rnacentral:rRNA from 1 species
UACGAAGGGGGCUAGCGUUGCUCGGAAUCACUGGGCGUAAAGCGCACGUAGGCGGAUUGUUAAGUCAGGGGUGAAUCCUGGAGCUCAACUCCAGAACUGCCUUGAUACUGGCGAUCUCGAGUCCGGGAGAGGUGAGUGGAACUGCGAGUGUAGAGGUGAAAUUCGUAGAUAUUCGCAAGAACACCAGUGGCGAAGGCGGCUCACUGGCCCGGUA